GACGAACGCUGGCGGCGUGCUUAACACAUGCAAGUCGAACGGAAAGGCCCAGCUUGCUGGGUGCUCGAGUGGCGAACGGGUGAGUAACACGUGGGUGAUCUGCCUCUAACUUCGGGAUAAGCUUGGGAAACUGGGUCUAAUACCGGAUAGGACAAUCGUUUAGUGUCGGUUGUGGAAAGUUUUUUCGGUUAGGGAUGAGCCCGCGGCCUAUCAGCUUGUUGGCGGGGUAAUGGCCUACCAAGGCGUCGACGGGUAGCCGGCCUGAGAGGGUGGACGGCCACAUUGGGACUGAGAUACGGCCCAGACUCCUACGGGAGGCAGCAGUGGGGAAUAUUGCACAAUGGGCGCAGGCCUGAUGCAGCGACGCCGCGUGGGGGAUGACGGCCUUCGGGUUGUAAACCUCUUUCGACAGGGACGAAGCUUUGGUGACGGUACCUGUAGAAGAAGCACCGGCUAACUACGUG
rnacentral:rRNA from 1 species